UCAGUUGGCUAAUGUAAUUUCUUAAGAAGAAUAAAUUAUACAUAUAAAGUCCGUGUUUAUAUAUACGUACAUAGAAAUACAUAACAGUAAAAUGUGAUAAUAACAAUUAUUGUAGAACAAAAUAUGCAGUUUCAUUAUCGAACAAUCGCGCUGUAACGUUUCAGCUUAUUCCUAGAUCACAGUUGUCUAACAAAACGUUAAGUAUUAUAGAACAUGCUAUUUUAUAUUGAUAGAAUAAAGACCGAAUAAUGUUUUACAUUUGAAAACUACUCGAUGAAAUCGGCAAUGACGUUUACCCGUACUACGCUAUAACGAGUGAAAACCAUUUAAAGUUUUACAAAAUUAUAGUUAUAAUCAUUUGAUUGUAAGCUAUUCAAAAAAUGUUGUUGAUCUGCAAUCUCGAGAUUACACUUAAAUAAUAUAAUGUAUUGAUUACAUCUUAAAAUUAAAAUACUUCGAAAAAUACACGAAACUACAUCUAAGCUUCUACGUCGUCAUUUUAUUGAAACAUUGUGGAGAUCAAUUACCAUACUAAAUUAGAUCACCUGUUACAUGAAUGCCCUCUCGUGAUAGUAUUUAAAAGAGAAGACUUGACGCUUAGCUAUCCAUAAAUUGUAAUUACUAAAUAUCAGCAGAUGAAAUUUUUGUUGAACUAUCAAACAAAAAGCGA